CCCCGCGGGGCGGUCCUCGCCCUGCUGAGGAUGGGCGAUAGCUGUCUAGGUGGCCGGCGGCCUCAGGGAGCCGUGACGCCUACUCCGGGCUUCCGCGACUGCGCCCGUGUAGGGGACGCGGAAGGGGCAGACCCGUGGCAUUUGCUCUGCGCGGUGGUGCACAGAGAAGAGGGUUUCCCAUUCUGUUACCCCCACGAAGGAGGGGAAGGACAUCCUCCCAUGUCUUUCGAGCAGUCACUCUUCCCCUCUCUCUGUUGGAGAAAAGCCGACAGCUAGUGCCUGCCUUGGUCGCAGAUCUUGUGGGCAUCAUAAGACUUUGCUAACCCCAUGUCUUGUGCGGGCGAGCUCUGGCCUGCUCUGCUCAGCGUUUUCCCUGUUCAGUCAGGAAUAUUCCUAGAGUGUCUGCCCCAGGUCUUCCUCCGCACUUACCCUAGGGACCACUUAUCUCUUGGAUCUAACCCCACUGCAACCCAGCCUUUUAUUAACCGCGACCCUCACCCAGAGGGAUGGAGCAAGCUCUGAGAAGACUUACACGAAGGUGGCUGGAGGCAGGGCUGGUAGAACCAAGUAGUAUACACAGGCUGCCCUUGCUCGGCCCUAGCUGGGAGCUGCACCCUCCUACUUGGAAAGGGGCCCCCGUGCCCCAGCUUGUGUGGGAUAGAUCACAAGCUAGUGUGUGCCACUCACAUCUUCUUUUUUUUUUUUUUUUUAAGUCAUGCUUUGCUGCUUGAAGCUACAGGAGCAAAUGGUCUUUGUAUAGAGACAGGUUGUUGAGUCCUUGGUGACUGUCCUUAGGUGGCUGUGAGAUGAUAGAAGACAGAGGGACAAAGUAUGGAAUACUUUGGCCAGCACUGGAGGAGAGUGGAUGCCUCGUUUCUGAGUAACCUCCGGUGUUCCAGCAGACUGAAAGGUUACCUGGGGGUCAGCUCUACCAUAGCUUGGUGCCAGACAGUGCUCAGUACAAGCCUGGCUACCCAGGAAACAGCACUGCACCCUGUGAAGGGACCUGAACAGAUGGAAGACAGCGUUCUGCAGCCAGUCCUAUUCUAGGGGCCUGUCACUCCUGUCGAUGGUACUAAUAACUGCUAGAACCUGUGGCUUACUUCCCAGAGACUAAGGGACUUCAUGGAAGAUGAUUCCGUAACAUCUUCAGUGCUGCCUGAGAGAUAGGCCAUGCCCCUGCACAAGAGGAGCUUAAGGCCUAGAUUUUUAGCAGGUCAAUGGCCAACAAGGAGGGGGGUCCGAGCCAGCGGCAGCGGCCGCAGCAGCUGCGGCGGGCGGGGGGG